rnacentral:rRNA from 1 species
UGAAACCGUUCAGGGGUAAACCUGAGAAACCCAAAAGAUCGAAUGGAGAGAUUCAUCGUCAACGGCACUGGCUCCCGUUGGUGCGCGAUGCCCCGAAUGGGACCAUUUGGUUCCACGGCGAGGUCACACCACCUUCGGCUUGAAUGUUCCGGUGCCGUAGUCGUGCACUUCUCCCCUAGUAGAACGUCGCGACCCGUUGUGUGUCGGUCUACGGCCCGAGCGGGCGCCUGUCGCGUCGCUUCGCGCGCACGCGGCAGACCCUCGGUUGCCUGGCCGGCUGCACGACGGUACUCCCACGGUAUCGGGCCGCAACCAAUCCAUUCUCGAAUGUCUGUGCGUCAGGCCCGCCGCAAGCUCGGUCAGUUUUACCCGGAGGUGCGGACCUAGUGCCGUCCCCGGGCCUGGCCAGCUGUUAGCAGGCGGUGUCCUCGGACUGGCCAAGCUUUGAAUUACCGGUCGGCGACGCUAUUGCUUUGGGUACUCUCAGGACCCGUCUUGAAACACGGACCAAGGAGUCUAACAUGUGCGCGAGUCAUUGGGAUGUAUAAACCUAAAGGCGCAAUGAAAGUGAAGGUCGGCCUUUGCGUCGAUCGAGGGAGGAUGGGCCGCGUUACGAUACGGCCCCGCACUCCCGGGGCGUCUCGUUCUCAUUGCGAGAAGAGGCGCACCCAGAGCGUACACGUUGGGACCCGAAAGAUGGUGAACUAUGCCUGGUCAGGACGAAGUCAGGGGAAACCCUGAUGGAGGUCCGUAGCGAUUCUGACGUGCAAAUCGAUCGUCGGAACUGGGUAUAGGGGCGAAAGACUAAUCGAACCAUCUAGUAGCUGGUUCCCUCCGAAGUUUCCCUCAGGAUAGCUGGCACUCGCUUGUUCCUUUCGAACGCGUGCGAGUCUCAUCUGGUAAAGCGAAUGAUUAGAGGCCUUGGGGCCGAAACGACCUCAACCUAUUCUCAAACUUUAAAUGGGUGAGAUCUCUGGCUUGCUUGGAUCAUGAAGCCACGAGAUUUUUUGGAUCAGAGUGCCAAGUGGGCCAUUUUUGGUAAGCAGAACUGGCGCUGUGGGAUGAACCAAACGCAGAGUUAAGGCGCCUAAGUCGACGCUUAUGGGAUACCAUGAAAGGCGUUGGUUGCUUAAGACAGCAGGACGGUGGCCAUGGAAGUCGGAAUCCGCUAAGGAGUGUGUAACAA